UGAAUAAACAUAGCUUGAAGCAGCUGGUAGCUGCUGAGAACAAUGUCACAAACAGUGAUUUGCCUUGUUAUCUUCUGAGGAUAUCCUCUCUAAAGAGUUAGAAGAAACUUUUCAAAAGUGGCAAAACAUAUGUCAUUAUAAUGAAUGGAGCCACUCAUGCCUCCACUGAUAGAUACGGAGAGAUUUGGUAUAUUAUACAGUCCCAUAAGAGACUCUGCAUCUGUUUUCCAGUACAGCUGAUUGUGCUUGGCUCUCCACCAUGUCACUGCAGCAAAGGAAGGCUUGUAGACAACCCAAGAUCUACCUUGAGCAGUGAGACUUAAAAGGUGAGCAGGCUUCGUUGCGACAUGGAUUUCCUGUCAUAGUGAGCUACACCGCCAAGAUAAUCUCAUUCCUCUAGCAGUUGAACUGUAAUUUGCCUCAUUAUUCUGAUUUUUUUUAUGGUGAAAUACCAUAAUAGAGAUGAUGUCUUCCAAAAGAGACCAUGACAGAGAUGGGGAGAAAACAGAAGGGACUUGAGAGAGAGCAAGGAGACAAGAGACAGAGGAGGUGGAGAGGACCUAGGAAGGAUUAUCAGCUGACUGGAGGAACUGAGGAGCAAGAGCAGUGCUUCUGCUUCCCACCUGAGUGUGCACCAGCCGCCACUGGAGUCAUACACUGUAGUGUAUCUAUGACUUCUGUUUUUCUGUUCCUCUCUGAGGGCAUGUAGGAA
rnacentral:lncRNA from 1 species